CAAUAGCGUAUAUUAAAGUUGUUGCAGUUAAAAAGCUCGUAGUUGGAUUUCGGGGCAGCCUGGCUGGUCCGCCGCAAGGCGAGUACUGGUCAGCCGCCCUUCCUCUCGAAAGCCCCGACUGCUCUUCGUUGCAGUGGUCGGGUAGUUCGGGACGUUUACUUUGAAAAAAUUAGAGUGUUCAAGGCAGGCCUACGCCUGAAUACAUUAGCAUGGAAUAAUGGAAGAGGACCUCGGUCCUAUUUUGUUGGGUUCCAGGGCCGAAGUAAUGAUUAAGAGGGACAGUUGGGGGCAUUCGUAUUUAAUUGUCAGAGGUGAAAUUCUCGGAUUUAUGAAAGACGAACAACUGCGAAAGCAUUUGCCAAGGAUGUUUUCAUUAA
rnacentral:rRNA from 1 species